rnacentral:rRNA from 1 species
UACCUGCAGCUCGAGUGGUAACCGCUAUUAUUGGGCCUAAAGCGUCCGUAGCCGGUUUGGUAAAUAUCUGGGUAAAUCGUGAGGCUUAACUUCACGAAUUUCGGAUAGACUGCCAGACUUGGGAUCGGGGGAGGUCAGAGGUACUCCAGGGGUAGCGGUGAAAUGUUGUAAUCCUUGGAGGACCACCGGUAGCGAAGGCGCCUGACUAGAACGAGUCCGACGGUGAGGGACGAAGCCCUGGGGCGCAAACCGGAUUAGAUACCCGGGUAGUCCAGGGUGUAAACAAUGUGGGCUUUGUAUUGGAGGUCCCACGUGGGCGUCCAGUGCAGAAGAGAAGUUGUUAAGCCCACCGCCUGGGAAGUACGGUCGCAAGGCUGAAACUUAAAGGAAUUGGCGGGGAGCACAGCAACGGGAGGAGCGUGCGGUUU